CGAGCGCUCGCGCCGGGCCGCCCAGGGGGCGCUCCUUCCCCUGCCAUGAGCGGUCCAGCGCGGACGGAGCCUCUGCUCGGUGAUCCCGCCUUUCUGGCGUCCAGCGACUCCCACUCGGUGACGGUGCUGCUGCGCGGCUACGCGGAGCCGCAGGGGGCGGGCGACGCGGUGCGGGCUGAUGGCACCGCGACCCUCGUCCUGCCCCGGGCCUGGGCGUCGGGUCCCGGCCGCCGGGCGGCCCCGGCCGCAGAUGGCGGCGCAGAGGCAGCCCUGGAGGAGGCGGUGCGCGGCCCCAUCCUCGUGGACACCGGAGGCCCCUGGGCUCGCGAGGCGCUGCUGGAGGCCUUGGCCCGGCAGGGCGUGGCCCCCGGGGACGUGACGCUGGUGGUGGGGACCCACGGGCACUCGGAUCACAUCGGGAACCUAGGGUUGUUUCCCCGGGCGGCUCUGCUAGUGUCCCAUGACUUCUGCCUUCCCGGGGGCCUCUAUCUGCCCCACGGGCUGGCUGAAACGCGGCCCUUGACACCGAGCUCCGGACUGCAGGUGUGGGCCACGCCGGGCCACGGAGGACAGCGGGACGUGAGCGUCGUGGUGCAGGGCACCAGCCUGGGCACCGUGGUGGUGGCUGGCGAUGUGUUCGAGCGCCUCGGGGACGAGGACUCCUGGCAGGCCCUGAGCGAAGACCCAGUAGCUCAGCAGCGGAGCCGGGAGAGGAUCCUGGCUGUGGCUGAUGUGGUGGUGCCUGGUCACGGAGCCCCCUUCCGGGUGGUCAGGGAAGUAGGGAAGAGUUCCGAGGAUCAGGAAAGCACCUUCAGCGAGGCACUGGAGUCCAGGGGACCCUGAGGGCGCCGUCACAGCAAGCAAGCUUUGCCACGUUCAGCCUUGCCAGGAGGCAACUUUCAAACAGCCACCCUUGUCACUCACUGUCUGCAACCCAAGCAGGACGGAGGACUGACUCAGCCCUGCAUCCUCUGUGCCCAUGGAGGCCAGAACAGUUCACCGUUUCCAUCAGAACUGGAGUUACAGGGAGCUGGAUGCCACCCACCAACCUGGGGUCCUCUGCAGGAGCAGCAAUCACCCACAAUCACCGAGCCAUCUCUUCAGGCCUCAUCCUGUUUAGUGUAAGGCUUUGUCAUGUCCACAGACAAGCUUGGACCUAGGUAAUUUUAAAAGUGUUAAUGUAUUUAAGUGACUGUGGGUGUAUGAAUGUUUAAUUGACCUUGGGUGUAUGCAUGCAUUGCCUGAAUGUAUGUGCACACCUGCAUGU